AGCCUAUAUAAAGAAAUCUCGCAGGGGAUAGUAGCUAGCUUAAAUAGUGUUACAAAAUAAACAUUUAAACGAAAUUUCAUAAGAUCAGUUAAAUUUUCUGGAAAACAUUUGAAGCACAAACUAUCCAAAUCAAGUCGUUCGUGGCUUUAUGAAUAGAGAACAAAAUGCUAAAUCCAGUGAAUAAGGCGGCCGUGGACAGACGAAUUUGGAUCCAGCAGAUAUAUAGUCCGAAAUUAAUUGAAAUCGAUCGCGAUAGUAGAGUUUAUACAUCCAAUUUAUUGGCGAUGAAACGAUUUAGUGGUUAACAGAAAUAGAACUGGUAUUAUACUUACUGCUUUUCUUACAAAAUUCCUGGAUCAAAUUUCAAACUGGACUCAACAUAUCUAUUCCAAUACUUUUAUUCCAAGCUCACGUGCUCCAGAAAAAGAAAUGGUAAUAUUUGCUGUAGAAGGGAUUUUCCACCACAGGAAGCAAUCUCAUUGAUUGUGAAUGUAAAUGUUUUGAUGCUUCUAUUCCAAGCACAAUAAAGCAAAAAAUAACAACAAUUAGUGAGAGCUGAUUCUCCUAAGAAUUUUCAAUGGUGGAUUCAGAAAAAACUUCAUGGAGUCCUCAGACGAAUUUGGAUCCAGCAGAUAUAUAGUCUGAAAUUAAUUGAAAUCGAUCGCGAUUGUAGAGUUUAUACAUCCAUUUUAUUGGCGAUGAAACAAUUGAGUGGUUAGCAGAAGUAGAACUGGUAUUAAACUUACCGCUUUUCUUACAAAAUUCCUAGAUCAAAUUUCAAACUGGACUCAAAAUAUCUAUUCCAAUACUUUUAUUCCAAGCUCACGUGCUUCAGAAAAAGAAAUGGUAAUAUUUGCUGUAGAAGGGAUUCUCCACCACAGGAAGCAACCUCAUUGAUUGUGAAUGUAAAUGCUUUGGUAUGUCUUUCACUCUUCAUGAAAUUUACAAGUUUGCUUCAGUUUUAUAAGAUAAAGUGUGCUCCAUCAUAAUGAAUUAUCACAUAUUUCAUAUGCUUCUAUUCCAAGCACAAUAAAGCAAAAAAUAACAACGAUUAGUGAGAGCUGAUUCUCCUAAGAAUUUUCAAUGGUGGAUUCAGAAAAAACUUCAUGGAGUCCUCAGACGAAUUUGGAUCCAGCAGAUAUAUAGUCUAAAAUUAAUUGAAAUCGAUCGCGAUUGUAGAGUUUAUACAUCCAUUUUAUUGGCGAUGAAACAAUUGAGUGGUUAGCAGAAGUAGAACUGGUAUUAAACUUACCGCUUUUCUUACAAAAUUCCUAGAUCAAAUUUCAAACUGGACUCAAAAUAUCUAUUCCAAUACUUUUAUUCCAAGCUCACGUGCUCCAGAAAAAGAAAUGGUAAUAUUUGCUGUAGAAGGGAUUUUCCACCACAGGAAGCAACCUCAUUGAUCGUGAAUGUAAAUGUUUUGAUGCUUCUAUUCCAAGCACAAUAAAGCAGAAAAUAACGACGAUUAGUGAGAGCUGAUUCUCCUCCUCCUAAGAAUUUUCAAUGGUGGAUUCAGAAAAAACUUCAUGGAGUUCUCAGACAAUCAAGAGUAAUUGUACUGGUAUUUAAUGAUAAUCAUCAUUAUGGUUGGUCGCCUAACAGAAAACUCGACAAAUACUUACAUAUACUGUUGAAUACUAUGCAUAAAAGGAAGAGGGAACCUUGAUAAAAGUUGUAUGAUAUAAUUAACUAACUAUGUUAGUAUUCCUGGAACCAUUUGCUAUUAUUCGUACUUAACACACUUCAAUAACCAUGUUAUCAUCUCAAGAUGCAUAAGACGAAUUUGGAUCCAGCAUAUAUAUAGUCCGAAAUUAAUUGAAAUCGAUCGCGAUUGUAGAGUUUAUACAUCCAUUUUAUUGGCGAUGAAACAAUGAGUGGUUAGCAGAAGUAGAACUGGUAUUAUACUUACUGCUUUUCUUACAAAAUUCCUGGAUCAAAUUUCAAACUGGACUCAACAUAUCUAUUCCAGUGAGUUGUUCGAUAUUGGUUUAAUGUCAUACAAUAUGUCUUUUAAGAUACUUUUAUUCCAAGCUCACGUGCUUCAGAAAAAGAAAUGGUAAUAUUUGCUGUAGAAGGGAUUCUCCACCACAGGAAGCAACCUCAUUGAUUGUGAAUAUGCUUCUAUGCCAAGCACAAUAAAGCAGAAAAUAACAAGGAAUAAUGAGAGCUGAAUCUCCUAAGAAUUUUCAAUGGUGGAUUCAGAAAAAACUUCAUGGAGUACUGAGGUACCACAAGCUGAAUAUAUAGUUAAAACGUCUUACAAACAAAACAAGAUUCAGAUUAUGUUUUAAAGGUUACCGAAAAUUUUUUUAAUUGGUACAGAACCUUUUGGUGGUAUAACCAAAUGUUCAAAAAAAUACUACUGAUUGAUCCGAAUGGUAGUAGAUUGCCAUGCCACAUUAAAAAUAUUUGUUUUCAGACAAUCAAGAGUAAUUGUACUGGUAUUUAAUGAUAAUCAUCAUUAUGGUUGGUCGCCUAACAGAAAACUCAACAAAUACUUACAUAUACUGUUGAAUACUAUGCAUAAAAGGAAGAGGGAACCUUGAUAAAAGUUGUAUGAUUUAAUUAACUAACUAUGUUAGUAUUCUUGGAACCUUUUGCUGUUAUUCGUACUCACUCACUUCAAUAACCAUGUUAUCAUCUCAAGAUGCAUAAGAUAAACAAAAAACUUGCGAAUAUUAAAGCUACUCCUAAGGGAAAUCUCCAGUAGGCAACGUAUUCAUGGUAAACUGCCAGGAAAAGACCUUUUGUCUCUAUUCAAACUAUUAUUAUAUCUGGACAUUCCUGGGAAGCUAUAACCAUAUAAGAUCUCCUGAAUGUAUACAACAAGGCAAAAGCAACCUAUAAAUACUAACAGGAGUCCUCCAGAACAAUACAUCUGAGAGCAUAAAGAUCUCUGGCAUCUAAAGCCAUUCUACAUUCUGAACUUUCUAAGAAGAGUGGGAAUAAUAGAUCAGAUGUAAACACUGGGAUCCCCGGUAUAGCAGCAAGAAAAAGGACAAACUAGAUCGUUUGGGUCGUGGUGUACUUGGUAACCUAAUAUAAACAUAUGUACAUCUAGAAAUAUCAAUACUUAAAUGCAUCCAACAAUCAAUUAUUAACAAUUUUACAUAACUUAUUCUUAUUAUAUGGUUUUGAUUAACAUCCUCGACGUUA